rnacentral:rRNA from 1 species
UACCCUUGACAUGCCGGGAACUUGCGAGAGAUCACUUGGUGCCUUCGGGAGCCAGAACAC